GAUGAAGAACGUAGCGAAAUGCGAUAAGUAAUGUGAAUUGCAGAAUUCAGUGAAUCAUCGAAUCUUUGAACGCACAUUGCGCCCCUUGGUAUUCCGAGGGGCAUGCCUAUUCGAGCGUCAUUAUCACCCCUCAAGCUCCGGCUUGGUGUUGAGGCCUGCUGUAAAGGCACCCUCUAAAAUCAGUGGCAGUGCUGUCAGGCUCUAAGCGUAGUAAUACUCUCGCUACAGGGUCCCGGUGGACACUCGCCAGAACCCCCCCAUUUUUUAAUGAUUGACCUCGGAUUAGGUAGGGAUACCCGCUGAACUUAAGCAUAUCAAUAAGCGGAGGA
rnacentral:misc_RNA from 1 species